UACCAGCACCCCGAGUGGUCGGGACGUUUUAUUGGGCCUAAAGCAUCCGUAGCCGGUUCUACAAGUCUUCCGUUAAAUCCACCUGCUCAACAGAUGGGCUGCGGAAGAUACUAUGGAGCUAGGAGGCGGGAGAGGCAAGCGGUACUCGAUGGGUAGGGGUAAAAUCCGUUGAUCCAUUGAAGACCACCAGUGGCGAAGGCGGC
rnacentral:rRNA from 1 species